rnacentral:RNase_P_RNA from 1 species
ACAGUUGGUCGGCCUGUCGCGUGCAUCUUCGGGAUGCAGGAGGAAAGUCCGGGCAACACAGAGCAUUCCACUUCUUAACGGGAAGCAGUCCGCGAGGGUUGAGUAAAGCAGAAGAGAACAACCGCCUUCCCCAAGGGGGAGGUAAGGGUGAGAAGGUGGGGUAAGAGCCUACCAGUCUUGUGGUGACACAAGGGCUGUGCUUCUUGGAAGUUGAAAGGUCAUGUAAACUGGCGCUAUAAGGGCUGCUCGUCCAAUGCCAGAGGGUGGACCGAUAAAGCCUGUUGGUGACAGCAGGCUCAGAUAAAUGACAGGCACCCCACUUUAGGGUGGGGUACAGAACCCGGCUUACAGACCAACUGUUUUU